GUACCUGUCGACGACGGAAUUGACAGUGUUGCUGAACAGGCCAGAAGGUGCAAGCGGGGAAUCUAGGAGGAAGAUUCUGUCCUUCUCCUUCGUGUCAGACAGGGUCAACCAUAAAUGUCUCUCCGCUGCCACCAUAGCUGCCUUGGACUGCAUAACACAACGGGCGGUCUCUUUGGUGGUGCGAAGAGACAAGUCAGCGCUUCUCCUAAGUUCUAAGAUGUCAUCUUUCUUUAUCUCGUCACAAUCAUCCAGCUCUUUAAGCAGAUCAGCCUGGUAUGCCUGCAACGCCGACAUGGUGUGCAGACAAGCACCAGCCUGACCUGCUGCCGAGUACCCCUUACCCACCAAGGCUGAUGUUGUGCGCAGUGGGAGGGUAAGACCGGAGCCUUUAGAGAUAAUGCCGAAUCGGGAGAGAGAUAGCUCGCGAGCGUCUGCUCUACCCGGGGCAUCGUUCUAUAUCUGCCCUCUGCCAUCCCCACCACAUUUCCAUAAUAAUCGGAAGCAGGGACAAAGAGGCGGGCCGAGAAUGGUCUCAGCAUGGAGGUAGGGGAAGAAAGGCAGGCUCAGGUGGGAAGGAGGUGGCCUAUUACGCAGGAAGCGUUUAUCUAGUUUGCUUCGCUGUGGUAUGGCCGGUUUCUCGGCGGGCCAGUCGAUGUUUAACUUGGCGACUGCACAAGUAACCACCUCCAAUGACUCCUCACACUGUGGAGAAUAAGGGGGCUCCUCCCAGGGGAGGAGGCCAUUCCCGGGGGGAAAGAAACCGCAGAGCGGGAUUCUGAUCCCUGAGAACCCGGAUCUACCGGGUGAGGAAGGAGAUAAGGGGUCACCCGUCUCCAUUCCCUCCAAUAGAUCCAGCUGCGAACCCCACGAGUGCAGCUGCCUCUCCGCCUCAGCGAAAGCGGGGCCAGACCUGUGAGGAACGCUUGUGAAGGCUCCCUCAGUGAAGAGAGCCUUCAGGGAGCGGAGAGCACACAGGGAAAGCCGUUCGCAAUGCAGGCAGCUCCCAAGCAAACCAUGCACAUGCUGUGUGUAUCCCCGCUCUGGAUGUAAUGAGAACAGGGAGGAACACACCACUUGUAACGUGAUUUGCUUUCUUUCUUUUCGCCUUAUCAGACAUUGUGUUCUCAAAAUAAAGGCGCGCAAACUAGCACAAAAAACAGAACACGAGAGACACAACACAGAGUGCUUCACUGAAUGACUGAAGCUGAAUGCCGGUUCCUUCGCACAUGCUUUUAUACUUACUGGUCCGUGACGUCACUCGCCUGUGACGUCUCACCACUCUAUUGGACUGAUUACACAUGAUUCAGAGCAUGCUUACGCUAAAGGCAUUCCCCAUAGCGUUUGACGCAGCUCGAGUUCCUGAAGGGGAACUGCAUCCACCCAAGGCCAAGGCUGCAUAAAUGAACAUACCUUAAAGAACUUGAACUUUUCUGUUUUGCAAAUCCAUUUUUUGAUUGGUCUUAGGAAAUAUUCCAAUAUUCUGAGAUGCUAGAUUUUUUACUUUUAUGAGCUGUAAGCUCUAAUCAUCAAAAUUAAAAGCAAAAAUACUUUAGAAUUUUUUUUACAUGUAAUAAAUCUAGAAUCUAUGAAAGUCUCAGUUUUUUAAGUAAGUUACUAACAAAAAAAUAACUUUUUCAUGAUAUUCUAAUUUUUUGAUACACCUGUAGAUAAGUCAACCGCAAGCAAGCCCACUGACCUGCCACUUAUCAUAUUGAGCAAAACCCAACACAUUGGUAGGUCUACAAUAUUAGCCUAAUAUCAGUUCACACACAGGCUUAUCAUAAUGUUCAACCCAUUCUCAUCAAUUUGCAUAUAAAUAAGUAAGGCUUUACACUUUCCAUUUGCAUGUAAUACAUAUGCCAAAUUCCAAUUUCGCAUGCAUAUGAUACGCCAAUCCUUCCCAUUAACUUCUGUGGAGCAGAUGCGUACAAAUACCACGCAGCAUCUUCUACGGUCGUGCCGUCACCAGCGAGGCUCGGUUUGCCCAGUUCACCUGAUGCGCGUACACCUUCAAACAGGGAAGACCAAAGGAGGCCAGUCAUGGGAUCUGAAUUGGGCCAUUUAUGUGCAUUUACGGAAAAGACUAAAGGCAAAGAUUUCCAAAGGAUUUCUCACAGACUACUAAGUCCUUCUUCAUCAGCUCUCCACAAUAUCAGCCCUUCCAACAGCUUCCACAUCACUUUCUCUCGUGUGGCACAUCUGCUCUCAGUACUUUACUGCUGUCUUCCAGUUUUUGCAUGUUUACUUAUUAUUUUUUUAAUUUCUCCUCUACAGUCAACACUCACUCCCAUCUCUACUGUGGGCACUCCUGUCAACAUAUAGUGAUUUAUAACUACCACUAACAACUAACUAUAAAAUUAUAAUUAUUAAUCAUUAAUUUGUCUUGCAUUUAGUCACAAUAGAAGCAAACAAUGAUGACAGGAAACAGGAAAUAUAUCAUAUAAGGUAAUAAUUGUAAAAUAUUGAAGUAUUGUUCUUAAUCAUUUUUGCCUAAUUGUUUGUUAAAGGGAAGAAAAUAUAUUUUCAACUGGAGCCUUGAAUAUUAUUUGGCAUCUUGUAACAUGUUCUGUAAACAAAUUCUCUUUUUAUUUUUGAGUAUUGUAAAUUUUUAUAAUCAACAGUUUUUUUUUUUUUUUUUUUUUUUUUUUCAUAAUGACACAAACUGUAGAAAGAAUGCUGUUCUGAGCACUGUUUAUCUGGGAAAAGUUUGACAUAUCAAUAAACAUUGGGAAAUGACUACAAAA